rnacentral:rRNA from 1 species
AACGAACGCUGGCGGCAGGCCUAACACAUGCAAGUCGAGCGGACCUUUCGGGGUCAGCGGCGGACGGGUGAGUAACGCGUGGGAAUAUGCCCUUCUCUACGGAAUAGUCCUGGGAAACUGGGGGUAAUACCGUAUACGCCCUUUGGGGGAAAGAUUUAUCGGGGAAGGAUUAGCCCGCGUUGGAUUAGGUAGUUGGUGGGGUAAUGGCCUACCAAGCCGACGAUCCAUAGCUGGUUUGAGAGGAUGAUCAGCUACACUGGGACUGAGACACGGCCCAGACUCCUACGGGAGGCAGCAGUGGGGAAUCUUAGACAAUGGGGGCAACCCUGAUCUAGCCAUGCCGCGUGAGUGAUGAAGGCCUUAGGGUUGUAAAGCUCUUUCAGCUGGGAAGAUAAUGACGGUACCAGCAGAAGAAGCCCCGGCUAACUCCGUG